rnacentral:rRNA from 1 species
GACGAACGCUGGCGGCGUGCUUAACACAUGCAAGUCGAGCGGAGCGGCGAACGGGUGAGUAACGCGUGAGUAACUGCCCCCCUCUCUGGGAUAACAGUUGGAAACGGCUGCUAAUACCGGAUAGUGGGGGAUGACUCGCGUCCUAUCAGCUUGUUGGUGGGGUAGUGGCCUACCAAGGAGAGGACGGGUAGCCGGCCUGAGAGGGCGACCGGCCACAGUGGGCUGCGGUACGGCCCAAACGCCUACGGUGGGCAGCGGGGGGGAAUAUUGCACAAUGGGGGAACCCCUGAUGCAGCAACGCGCGUGCGGGAUGACGGCCUUGGGGUUGUAAACCGCUUUCAGCCAUGACGCGGUAGUGGCAGAAGAAGCACCGGCUAACUACGUGCCAGCAGCCGCGGUAAUUC